rnacentral:rRNA from 1 species
UUUGGUUAMCUCAUUCAAAAAAAUUUAUGUUUUUAAACUAGGAUUAGAUACCCUAUUAUUGUAAUGUACAGGUUUGUUAAUGCCUAGGUAGUAUUAGUUAUGGUCUUGAAACUUAAAAAAUUUGGCGGUAUCUUAGUCUGUUCAGAGGAACCUGUCAUGUAAUCGAUAGUCCACGUUGUACCUUACUUAUUUUUGUUUUUCAAUUUGUAUACCGCCGUUAUUGAAUAUUUUAUAAGAACAAUAAUUUUCAAUCUUUUUAAUGGAAUUUUAUAUCAGGUCAAGGUGCAGUUAAUGAAUAAGUAUGGAUGGGUUACAAUAGAUUUUUAUCUUCGGAUUUUUAAUUUAAAUAUUAGCUUGAAAAAGGAUUGUUAGUAAGCU